CAGCCGCCGCGGUAAUACAGAUGGUGCGAGCGUUAAUCGGAUUUACUGGGCGUAAAGCGUGCGUAGGCGGCUAAUUGAGUCGGAUGUGAAAUCCCCGAGCUUAACUUGGGAAUUGCAUUCGAUACUGGUUAGCUAGAGUGUGGGAGAGGAUGGUAGAAUUCCAGGUGUAGCGGUGAAAUGCGUAGAGAUCUGGAGGAAUACCGAUGGCGAAGGCAGCCAUCUGGCCUAACACUGACGCUGAGGUACGAAAGCAUGGGGAGCAAACAGGAUUAGAUACCCGGGUAGUCCCUGUCUCUUAUAC
rnacentral:rRNA from 1 species